GACGAAGCAAAAUUGAGCUAGCUUGUAACAUUUAUUAGAAUAAUGGUAUGUUGCAUAAUACUUUAUGAUUUCAAGCUUGAAGUGAUAUUCUUUACACAAUUUGCGAUAUCUUGAUGUCCUUGAAAAGUAUUUAGUACAUAGACAAAUAAAGAGCGCUUAGGUUCUUUAAAGGUAUUAAUCAAUAUGUUUAUUAUUUAUUAUAUUUAAUAACUAAUAACCACAUAAAUAAACAUGUAUUUAUAUUUAUUUAUAAAUAUUAAAGGACAAUCUUAAUUUUUAUUAAAAUUUUGAAUGUUAUUAUAAGUAAUAAAUAGUUAUUAAAAAUGAACUCGGCAAUAAACCUUUCAACUGUUUAUCAAAAACAUAGUUAUUAGAAAUAAUUAAUAAUUUGUUCUGCUCAAUGAAUACUUAAAUAGCCGCAGUACCCUGACUGUGCAAAGGUAGCAUAAUCAGUUGGCUUAUAAUUGAAGUCGUGUAUGAAUGAAUCAAUGGGGGGGGGCUGUAUCUUUAAUAUAAUAUUAAAUUAAUAAGAAAGUGCAAAUGCUUUUAAAUAAACAAUAGACGAGAAGACCCUAGAAAUUUUAAGAAUACAAAACUAACGGUUUUUGUUGGGGCAACAACGUAACAAGUAACUUACGUUGAGACUGGAAAUUUAUUUGAUUGAUUAAAUUACUCUAGGGAUAACAGCGUAAUAUUUAAAUGUUUGCGACCUCGAUGUUGGACUAGGAAACGAAGGCUUAG
rnacentral:rRNA from 1 species